UACGUAGGUGGCGAGCGUUGUCCGGAUUUACUGGGCGUAAAGAGCGCGCAGGCGGCAGUCUAAGUCUGGCGUGAAAUUUCCCGGCUUAACCGGGAGAGGUCGUCGGAUACUGGGCAGCUUGAGGGCGGUAGAGGCGUGUGGAAUUCCGGGUGUAGUGGUGAAAUGCGUAGAGAUCCGGAGGAACACCAGUGGCGAAGGCGACACGCUGGGCCGCACCUGACGCUAAGACGCGACAGCAUGGGGAGCAAACAGG
rnacentral:rRNA from 1 species